rnacentral:rRNA from 1 species
GAACGACUCUCGGCAACGGAUAUCUCAGCUCUCGCAUCGAUGAAGAACGUAGCGAAAUGCGAUACUUGGUGUGAAUUGCAGAAUCCCGUGAACCAUCGAGUCUUUGAACGCAAGUUGCGCCCGAAGCCAUUAGGCCGAGGGCACGCCUGCCUGGGUGUCACAC